GCGUGAACCCGUCCUGGUCCUCACUAGCGCACCACCGCCGCGCCUCUCACCUGCUCCUCCCCUCCCUUUUAAGCUGCCCAGGAAACCCUAGCCUCCCUUCCUCCUCUUCUCCCUCGCGCCGCCAUCCUCUCUACCCUCCAUGUCCAUUUUCUUCACGUACAGAGAAAACCCCCACUGCCUCCACUGUCCUCACCAUGGCUCCGCCUCCACAGACCACCCCUCGCCGAUCUGAGACCACCGGCGGAUGCGCCUCGUCGUCCUCUCCAUCCUCAUGCAAGGAAUCGAACCGGAACCUCUCCAAUCGUCCGCAAAAUCGCCGAUUCCUUCUCCGUCUCCGGCGAGCUAAUCUUCGAUUCCGGCCGGCCUGGUCCUUCCCCGGCCAUCCCACCACCCGAAGCUGAACCGCCACGACGAGGCGCGCCCUCGACGCCUAGUGCCUUGCCCCGCUUCGCCUCGAAUCGUCAGGCUCGUUGUCGACCAGAUCCUCCCAGACAUGGUUGUUCUGUCCAAGGUCUCCGUUUCUCGUGCUUCAAGAGCAGCUGCGGCCCAUCAUGCUCAACAUCCACGCAGCAGCCCGUCUGGUUCUACCCUUCCAAUUCCUGUGAGACCAGAGUUCAAAUCCCAAACCUGGCAAUUAAGCCACACCUUUUUGUUUUUGUUUCUCUCCAGAUCUGUGGAUGGGCCUUGGCCCAGCGUCCUCUCGCGGCACCAGUUCACUAUCAUGCGCCAGCAGCAGGCCAGAUCCGGCCCAGGACAAAGCAGCACUUUACUUCUUCCCGGAUAGGAUCGCGAAGUGGUGUUGUGAGAUACGACGAGUUCUCCGACAAGUUCUUCUGCAUCCUUUCACAGGCGAGCCCACCCCUUCACCUAUUUUACUUUUACAUGCUCUUUUGAUCUAUUUCUAUCCUUACGUUGCGAUUCUGUUGUGUCACGUGUCCUAUCCACCUGUUACCUAUAUGUCCGAGAUACACCUCCUCGCCCUACCUAUUGUUUGUUGUUUGCCAGCUUUGCGAGUCGUAGGCGUGUUUAGGCUAUGUUGUUUAUCUCGAUCUGUUAUCGGGAUAUGUUGGGUUGUUGGGAGGUUUUCACAUGCUUUAUCAUUUGUUGGAGAUAAUCACACUUUACUUUAUUGUUAACAACUAAAAUUGUAAGCAGAGGCAUCUGUGAGCCCCUUUGCGAAAGCAUCGGAACUUUGACUUGCUAAUGUCCCCUAGGACCCGAGUUCUUGUUAUCUGUUCCGAGAUUGAGCGCUCUACCCGUACGUGGGGGAAUGGGACCCCCAUCACCCACUACCUUUCCUCGAGUCUGUUUAUUGGGAGCCACAACCUUGGUUUUAUUUGCCCAUAUGCACGAUGCACGAUUUACUUCCUGUUGCCUUCGGGUGUUUAUUCCUGUACUGUACUCAUAACGCGGGACUCUUUAUCCUUGGCCGGUCGUUAGUGCCCGCCUUGGAAGCCGACGCAAACCUCUGGGUCCGUAUCGGAAUACGGCCGAACUUCGUCACGGGUAGCUUAGUUGGGUGGCUCCCAUUAAACUUUCUCUUGCAUUGGGAACGGUCUUGAUAUGAGACUCCACCUGUAGUAAGUGGGUUCGAGCAUGCGUAUGGUUACAUUUGGGCAACCCCUGCAGGGUGUACAUUUUAUCGAUAAGCCGUGUCCGCGGUUAUGGAUGACUUGGAAUUGUAUAGCUUGAUCAUAGAACAACUUACACCUUAUAUCCUGUUGCUAAUAAUUUGCUAAUAAAACUUUUUCCAAAAAGUGUGUGUGUGCCUUUGACAGUACCUCUUUGCGAAGGGGGAUCGCAUCGGCUGGGUUAUGUUUGCAGAGUAUAGAACUGUUACCUUGUGCGCUCUCUUAUCUUCUCUGAGUAGACGGAUGUUGUAGCGUGUCUCUAUUGGAUAGUAGCUUUGCUGCCGCUAAACUCCACAUAUAGCCGGGUGAAGUUUAUACCGCCCACCAGCGAGCAUAGCUGGUCUUGUCUCGCAAGUACGUGCCAAUGGUACUUACCCUCGCCUUCCUUUCUUUUUGUCUCCUCCCCCUUUUGUCGGCAACCGAUGGCCCGACUUUGACAGGUACGAGAUGAUGACGUUAGCAAGGUUACCCUUCUGGCUUGGCCUGGGCAGGGUUAUGGAUGCCACUGGUUAUCUUCAGGACUCUUAGUCCAAUUUGUAUCUUGUCCGUACUCGGACGUAUUCGAUCUUCUGUAUGAUUUGGAUCUUUGUAUUGUAUAUUUGUAUCUUGACUCAUUGGAGUCGUUGUUGUAUUAUAUGUAUCUUGUGGGCUCUAUUGUAAUCCUGUUGUAAUGUUACCGCUCGUGUUAAUUCCUCUGGCAUCACGUGUGUGAUUCUUCGCGCACGUCGUGUCGGAGGGCGUCUCUGAAUCGAUAUCGUGCGGAUUUCGGCGGGAUCGCUGGAAUCCUCAUGGUACCGGUUCCGGGGCGUCACAGCC